ACCGUCCCCCAUUAAUCAACAGUGCACCCCACCCGUCAACUGUGCACCACUUCCUCUACAGUGAACCCCUUCCACCAACGGAAGUCAGCUGACAGAGUGUUACCGGGGGACUAAAGAAGGAUAGCACUCCUACAAAUUGGAGUCUUUAAACCAGAGACAAGGUGAAGUAAAAGGAAAAACAACAAUGGAAAUUGCCAGGCUAGCCUCCAGAUUAUCGAGUAAAGGACCUUGUAGAGAAAAGGAACAGGGGUGGCAAACCUUUACGGAUGGCAACAGGAAACACAAGACAACACUUAUCAUAGCACAGCGGUUAAAAAUGGACAAAGAGGAUCCCUUAUAUGUGUACAGGCCACUACUACAUGUAGCACUGCGUUCAUCAUCAGGUUAAGGUGUUGGACAAACCCCUAAGAGAGCCCAAGAGAAUAGUGUAACAUCACACAUGUACUUGAAAGACUUUAGAUAUUGUGAAAAAUUAAAACAAGGUAAGGUAAAGUGCUGAACAUUUUAUAUAUUUUGUAUCAGCGAAACUAAAUUCUGAUAAUAAUUCUGUGAACAUAAGUCAUGGAAAGAUCAUCAAAAUUCCAUAAUUUUGGUUUGUAUCCACGACUGUAGUCAAUGUUUUGUUACUUUUUAUCAGUUGUAGUACUGUACAUACUGUAGCCAGCCCUCAGUCAGGUACAUGUAGUUUUAAAUGUUUGAUUCGGCAUUUCAAGCAGUUUCUCUCAUAAAUAUAAGUCAAAGAAAAUGAGAAUAUGUUUAUUCAUGUGUUUAUUGGAUAAUAUAAUGA